rnacentral:lncRNA from 1 species
CUGUGUAUUCCAGAACACUCUAUGCAGGUUAAAAUGCCCAAAUUGGUUGAUAGCCACGUUGGAUCUGGUGAGCCACAAUCACAACAGACUUCAUUUCCGGGUAAUCUCUGUAUGUCAUCAAUAAUGGCUUUUGUCAGAUCCUCUAAACUGUUUUCCCCUGUGCUCUGCUCUCCACGGAAUGCCAUAUUUAAUGCUUCUUCUUUGCUGUUAGUCAAUACUGAUAUCCAUGCUACGUAUUCUUGUUCAUCUUCUGCUUGAAAAUGGUACGUUCUGUUAUGUGAUAUUAGAUCAAAAGACUUCUUAUCUUCAGCAUUUGGCUUCACCUGGCAGGUUAAUAAAUUCAGUUUAGCUGGCUGCCUGUUGGACGUUGCAUGUGAUAUGGUUAGAAUUCCAUUUUUAACAGUGCACUUUCUUCUUUGCCAUACUUUCCUUAAUCCAUCACUCUUCUUUAAAAGAUAACCUUUCUUCUCACUGCCAUAUUCCUUAUUCCCCUGAAGUUGAUGCAUACUAUAUCCUCCUUGCCUGCUCUGUGAAUCCUCCUUCUGGUCAAGCUGCAGAGAAGAUUUUAUCAAAUCACGAAGAGCAGUAAGUUGUUUCUUUUCUUCAUCUUGUGUCUGCUUUAUAUUAUAUAAGUCAGCAGCCAACUUUUCAAUAUAUUGUUUAAGUUUAUCAGCUGUUUUCAAGCCAUCUUGGAAGAAAUUGCAUUGUGCAUGAUAAUAUUUAAUAAGAUUCUGCAGAAGGUCCACACCUUUUUUCGUCUUGAUUUCAUUAACCUUAAUAAGAUAUUCACACAUCUGCAACUGAAAGAGUCGCCUUUCCUUCUCCAUUUCUUCUGCAAUCUCAGCUCCUGUAAUUUCAGUUCGUAUCAUCCCGUGUUGUUUUGCAUGUUCUCUCUUUUCCUUUUCAAUUUUUGUAAAUUUCGUUUCAUAAUCCUUCCAGGCUUUGUCAAAAGGCUUUUUGAGAUCC